rnacentral:SRP_RNA from 1 species
GGUCUCUUCGCAAGUGUUCGCUGCGAACCCCGCCAGGCCCGGAAGGGAGCAACGGUAGUGGUAAAAUAUUGUGCCGGAGUAAGGCUG